CUUAAACACACACAAUCAAUUAAAACCCUGCUCUGACCGUCCACGACAGUGGUGGAAGGAAUCGAAGGACUAUCUGGACAAAGAUCGAUAGGAGGCUGCACUCUCAAAGUGAAGAUGAUGACGAUGAAGCAAGCAUCCCUGUCAGAGCCUGGCCCAGCCAGUCCAGCUUGCACAGCGCAGAUGACAUGCUGAAAGAACGUCCUGCUUCUGCAGCCAGUCAGACCAGUACAGUGGUCAACGAGCGUCUUCAGGAGCUGGUUAAGAUGUUUAAAGAGAGGACGGAGAAGGCAAAGGAGAAACUCAUUGACCCUGACAGCUCAGAUGAAGACAGCAUCA